CCUACGGGUGGCAGCAGUGGGGGAUAUUGCACAAUGGAGGGAACUCUGAUGCAGCGACGCCGCGUGAGGGAAGAAGGUUUUCGGAUUGUAAACCUCUGUCUUCGGUGACGAAACGAGACGGUAGCCGAGGAGGAAGCCACGGCGAACUACGUGCCAGAAGCCGCGGUAAUACGUAGGUGCAAAGCGUUGUUCGGAAUUACGGGGUGUAAAGGGAGCGUAGGCGGGAAAGCAAGUUGAAUGUUUAAGGGACGGGGUCAACCUGUACAAGCGUUCAAGACUGUUUUUCUUGAGUGGAGUAGAGGGUAGCGGAAUUACUAGUGUAGCGGUGAAAUGCGUAAAUAUUAGGAGGAAAACCAGUGGCGAAGGCGGCUUACUGGGCUUUAACUGACGCUGAGGUUCGAAAGCGUGGGUAGCAAACAGGAUUAGAUACCCCUGUAGUC
rnacentral:rRNA from 1 species